rnacentral:rRNA from 1 species
AUUGAACGCUGGCGGCAUGCUUUACACAUGCAAGUCGAACGGUAACAGGUUAAGCUGACGAGUGGCGAACGGGUGAGUAAUGCAUCGGAACGUGCCCGGUCGUGGGGGAUAACGCAGCGAAAGCUGCGCUAAUACCGCAUACGAUCUGAGGAUGAGAGCGGGGGACCGUAAGGCCUCGCGCGAUCGGAGCGGCCGAUGUCAGAUUAGGUAGUUGGUGGGGUAAAGGCUCACCAAGCCGACGAUCUGUAGCUGGUCUGAGAGGACGACCAGCCACAGUGGGAGUGAGAGACGGGCCAGAAUCCGACGGGAGGCAGCAGUGGGGAAUUGUGGAAAAUGGGGGCAAGCCUGAUCCAGCCAUGCCGGGUGCGGGAAGAAGGCCUGCGGGUUGUAAACCGCUUUUGUCAGGGAAAAAAAGGUUCUGGUUAAUACCUGGGACUCAUGACGGUACCUGAAGAAUAAGCACCGGCUAACUACGUGCCAGCAGCCGCCGUAA